GACGAACGCUGGCGGCGCGCCUAACACAUGCAAGUCGAACGAGCGAGAGAGAGCUUGCUUUCUCAAGCGAGUGGCGAACGGGUGAGUAACGCGUGAGGAACCUGCCUCAAAGAGGGGGACAACAGUUGGAAACGACUGCUAAUACCGCAUAAGCCCACGGCUCGGCAUCGAGCAGAGGGAAAAGGAGCAAUCCGCUUUGAGAUGGCCUCGCGUCCGAUUAGCUAGUUGGUGAGGUAACGGCCCACCAAGGCGACGAUCGGUAGCCGGACUGAGAGGUUGAACGGCCACAUUGGGACUGAGACACGGCCCAGACUCCUACGGGAGGCAGCAGUGGGGAAUAUUGCACAAUGGGGGAAACCCUGAUGCAGCGACGCCGCGUGGAGGAAGAAGGUCUUCGGAUUGUAAACUCCUGUUGU
rnacentral:rRNA from 1 species